AUCCAGCUAAUGAAUCCCAAAUAGGACGAAACGCGCUUCCUGGAU
rfam:Schistosoma rodhaini strain Burundi genome assembly, scaffold: SROB_scaffold0017106